ACAGCACUGAAAAUGCUUGGAUGAAAAAAGUCAAAAAGAAAAGACUUUUAGGCUAAGGCAUAUAGCAAUAGCACGCUGCCCUUAUAGAAACAGCAUUGAAAAUAUUUGGAUGGAAAAAAGACUUUUAGGCUAAGGCAUAUAGCAAUAGCACGCUGCCCUUAUAGAAACAGCACUAAAAAUGUUUGGAUGAAAAAAAGUCAAAAAGAAAAGACUUUUAGGCUAAGGCAUAUAACAAUAGCUGUCUUUAUGCAAACAGUACUGAAACUAUUUGGAUAGAAAAAAGGACUUUCAGGCCAAGGCAUAUAGCAAUAGCACGCUGCCCUUAUAGAAACAGCAUUGAAAAUAUUUGGAUAGAAAAAAGACUCUUAGGCUAAGGCAUAUAGCAAUAGCAAGAUGAAAAAAAGGAA
rnacentral:lncRNA from 1 species